ACACCGGCAGCUCUAGUGGUAGCUGUUUUUAUUGGGUCUAAAGGGUCCGUAGCCGGUUUGGUCAGUCCUCCGGGAAAUCUGAUAGCUCAACUAUUAGGCUUUCGGGGGAUACUGCCAGACUUGGAACCGGGAGAGGUAAGAGGUACUACAGGGGUAGGAGUGAAAUCUUGUAAUCCCUGUGGGACCACCUGUGGCGAAGGCGUCUUACCAGAACGGGUUCGACGGGGAGGGACGAAAGCUGGGGGCACGAACCGGAUUAGAUACCCGGGUAGUCCCAGCCGUAAACGAUGCUCGCUAGGUGUCAGGCAUGGCGCGACCGUGUCUGGUGCCGCAGGGAAGCCGUGAAGCGAGCCACCUGGGAAGUACGGCCGCAAGGCUGAAACUCAAAGGAAUUGGCGGGG
rnacentral:rRNA from 1 species